rnacentral:lncRNA from 1 species
GCCUCCCGAGUAUCCAGGACUAAGGAAGACUUCUUCCAAGUUGCUGGAGGAGAUGGCCACUAGUAGCCUUGAUUUUAUAUCAUCCCAGCACAAAGACACCAAAUGCAAGAGACAGCAUUUUCCACCAGCUCUAGCUGGAAAAUCCUUAGAGGAGGACUGUAGUUAUCAGCUCAACCAGGACAACUUGAUCGGAGAAGAGUGGUUAUCCAGAAAGGGAUGCUGAGCAGAUAAUCAACGUUCUCUGAAGUGGGUAUAAUGACUAUCUACAUGCAUAUGGGAAAGAGAGGCACAGAGAAAUGAAGUAACUUUUCCAAGGUCACACUGUUGGUUGGUGGGAGAGGUAAACCAAAAACCCAUGCCUCCUCACUCAGACCUCUGCUCUUGCCUGAAUAACCAUGUUAUUUCGCCACUUCAAAAUAAAAGUGAGACCUACC